rnacentral:rRNA from 1 species
UACGGAGGGUGCGAGCGUUGUCCGGAAUCACUGGGCGUAAAGGGCGCGUAGGCGGCGCGAGUAGUCAACGGUGAAAGCCCGGGGCUCAACCCCGGGUCGGCCGUCGAUACUCUCGUGCUUGAGCACUGUAGAGGCAGGUGGAAUUCCGGGUGUAGCGGUGGAAUGCGUAGAGAUCCGGAAGAACACCGGUGGCGAAGGCGGCCUGCUGGGCAGUUUAGCUGACACUGAGGCGCGACAGCGUGGGGAGCAAACAGG